AGUGAACGCUGGCGGUAGGCCUAACACAUGCAAGUCGAACGGCAGCACAGUAAGAGCUUGCUCUUACGGGUGGCGAGUGGCGGACGGGUGAGGAAUACAUCGGAAUCUACUUUUUCGGGGGGGAUAACGUAGGGAAACUUACGCUAAUACCGCAUACGACCUACGGGUGAAAGCAGGGGAUCUUCGGACCUUGCGCGAUUGAAUGAGCCGAUGUCGGAUUAGCUAGUUGGCGGGGUAAAGGCCCACCAAGGCGACGAUCCGUAGCUGGUCUGAGAGGAUGAUCAGCCACACUGGAACUGAGACACGGUCCAGACUCCUACGGGAGGCAGCAGUAGGGAAUAUUGGACAAUGGGCGGAAGCCUGAUCCAGCCAUACCGCGUGGGUGAAGAAGGCCUUCGGGUUGUAAAGCCCUUUUGUUGGGAAAGAACAGCAGCAGGUUAAUACCCCGCUGUUCUGACGGUACCCAAAGAAUAAGCACCGGCUAACUUCGUG
rnacentral:rRNA from 1 species